rnacentral:misc_RNA from 1 species
GAAAUGCGAUAAGUAAUGUGAAUUGCAGAAUUCAGUGAAUCAUCGAAUCUUUGAACGCACAUUGCGCCCCCUGGUAUUCCGGGGGGCAUGCCUGUUCGAGCGUCAUUUCACCACUCAAGCCUCGCUUGGUAUUGGGCGACGCGGUCCGCCGCGCGCCUCAAAUCGACCGGCUGGGUCUUCCGUCCCCUCAGCGUUGUGGAAACUAUUCGCUAAAGGGUGCCGCGGGAAGUCACGCCGCAAAACAACCCCAUUUCUAAGGUUGACCUCGGAUCAGGUAGGGAUACCCGCUGAACUUAAGC